rnacentral:lncRNA from 1 species
UGGGGCAAACACAGGCUGCUCCAGCUGCCCCUUCUGCUGCUCCAGGUCCUUCAGCUGCCCCUCCUGCUGCUCCAGAUGUUUUAGUUGUCCGUCCUGCUGCUCUGGGUGCUCUAGGUGCUUUGGCUGUCCUACCUGCUGCUCUGGGAGCUCCAGCUGUGCCUCCUGCUUCUCCAGGUGCUUCACCUGGCCCUCUUGCUGCUCUGGGAGCUCCAGUUGCUUCUCCUCCUGCUCCAGGUUCUUUGGCUGCCCCACCUGCUGCUCUGGGACCUCCAACUGCCCCUGCUGCUGCUCCAGAUGCUUCAGUUGUCCCUCCUGCUCCUCUAGGUGCUUCAGCUGCCCCUCCUCCUCCUCCAGGUGCUUUGGCUGCCCCUGCUGCUUCUCUAGCUGCUUCAGCUGCAGCACCUGCUGCUCUGGGAGCCCCAGCUGCCCUUCCUGGUGCUCCAGGUGCUUCAGCUGUCCCUCCUGCUGCUCAGAGAGCUCCAGCUGCCCCUCCUGCUGCUCAGAGAGCUCCAGCUGCCCCUCCUGCUGCU